AGUUAACGUUGGCGGCGUGCCUAACACAUGCAAGUCGAACGCGUCCUAAGGGCAACUUUAGGAUGAGUGGCGAACGGGUGAGUAUCACGUGGGUAAUCUUCCUUCAAGUGGGGGAAUAAGCUCUCGAAAGGGAGUCUAAUACCGCAUGACAUUCCGGGACACAAGUCCCGUAAUCAAAGCCGCAAGGCGCUUGAAGAUGAGCCUGCGUCCUAUUAGCUAGUUGGUGGGGUAACGGCUCACCUAGGCGAAGACGGGUAGCCGGCCUGAGAGGGCGAACGGCCACACUGGAACUGAGAUACGGUCCAGACUCCUACGGGAGGCAGCAGUGGGGAAUAUUGGGCAAUGGGGGAAACCCUGACCCAGCGACGCCGCGUGGGUGAAGAAAUCCUUCGGGAUGUAAAGCCCUGUUGUAUGGGAAGAGCGGAAGACGGUACCAUACGAGGAAGCCCCGGCAAACUACGUGCCAGCAGCCGCGGUAAGAGUCACGUCG
rnacentral:rRNA from 1 species